UGCCUAUUUGGAUGCCUUUUACUUUUUUUUCUUGCCUGAUUGCUCUGGCUAAGACUACCCUUUGGAUCUUCAUUGGUAGGAAUUCUUAGUGUUCCAGGCUUAAAGUUCAUUUUGUCAGAGAAGAACUGUGUUUGCUUCUGUCAUGUGUCUGGGAACACCAACAACUUAGAACAGCUUUGAACUAAAUUAUAAGUAUUCUGUUUUUCAAGUCACACAGAUAAUGUGAAUUCCAACUCCAAACUCUUGUGAGAUUGGGCUUAUGGCUCUUAAAGAAGACACUGUCUUUCCCUCCCCCGAGAACCAAGGCCAACACUGGUUAGAAGGCUGCCAGCCUGGUCACCAAGAAGAAUACUUUUGUGAAAGAUCCUGCCACGAGCUGGUGUUUCAUGAGCAACGAACAGAAAACCAUCUCCCAUUUUGACAGCCCUGCGCUGGGAAUUCAUAAAAUAUUCAAGUAACUAAUAAA
rnacentral:lncRNA from 10 species